rfam:Candidate division WWE3 bacterium RIFCSPLOWO2_01_FTLL_37_15 rifcsplowo2_01_scaffold_46678, whole genome shotgun sequence.
GUGGCCUUAGUUCAGCGGUAGAACGCCUCCCUGUGGAGGAGGAUGCCAGGGGUUCGAUUCCCCUAGGCCACC